rnacentral:rRNA from 1 species
UACGUAGGGUGCAAGCGUUAAUCGGAAUUACUGGGCGUAAAGCGUGCGUAGGCGGCUAUGUAAGACAGAUGUGAAAUCCCUGGGCUUAACCUAGGAACUGCAUUUGUGACUGGAUAGCUAGAGUGUGGUAGAGGGAGAUGGAAUUCCGCAUGUAGCAGUGAAAUGCGUAGAUAUGCGGAGGAACACCAAUGGCGAAGGCAAUCUCCUGGACCUGCACUGACGCUCAUGCACGAAAGCGUGGGGAGCAAACAGG